GGCUGAAUGGUUUAGUGGUAUAAUUCUUGCUUUGGGUUCACCACACCAACCUGCAAGAGGUCCUGGGUUCGAUUCCCAGUUCAGCCC
rnacentral:tRNA from 1 species